UUUGCUUUGUGGAAAAAUCUGAAUGUUGGGUUUUACUUCUGAUUAUAACAACUCGGUGAUAUCUAAAUACUUUGAUAUCUUAAGUUUACUGCUUGCACUCUAGGACUAACUUUUUUCCAGUCUUUUAAGUUCAACAGUUGAUUCUCCACUUGUUAAGAAUUGCUUUCUAAUAACCUUUUGUCCUCAUUUCUGGUUACCCGUUUAUUGGUGCAGUAUUAUAGAUUGGUACGAGAGGGCGAGGAAAUGGAAUAACAUCAUGAAUGGUUGGAGUGAUCAAGAUUAAAGAUGUGUACGAAUAAUAUAGAUUUUCCUAAUAUUUUUAUUAUUGAGAGUGAUGGAUGAAUGGACAAGAGUUUUUAUAGAUGCGUACGAAUAAUAUAGGUUUGCAGAUUUUUCAUUAUUGGGAGUGAUGUGGAUGAAUGGACAAGAGUUACUUUUAUAUGUUGAAUAUUCUAUUUUAUCAUUAAUGGUGUGCGUGAAUGAUGUAUUGAUUUAUUUAAUGAUAUAUAUAUGUGGUAUCAAUUUCUGUUUUGGAUCUUUCGUUGCAUUAAAUAAUAAACAUACGAUGAUGAAAUAUUUUUCGUUGCGAUAUCCAUUGAGCGUAUAACCACGAUCUGUAUUGUGUUGCAAUACCCUGUACGCAUAUAAUCACGAUAUAUUUCGUUGCGAUAUGGUUGAAGCAUAUAACGACAGUACGUACCUCGUUGGGAUACCUUGUAAGCAUAUUACGACGCUUUCUCAUCGUUGCGAUAUCCGUUGAGCAUAUAAUGACGACCCAUAUUUCGUUGCGAU
rnacentral:lncRNA from 1 species